AUACGGAGGGUGCAAGCGUUAAUCGGAAUUACUGGGCGUAAAGCGUGCGUAGGUGGUUUGUUAAGUCAGAUGUGAAAGCCCCGGGCUCAACCUGGGAACUGCAUUUGAAACUGGCAUACUAGAGUAUAGGAGAGGAAUGUGGAAUUUCAGGUGUAGCGGUGAAAUGCGUAGAUAUCUGAAGGAACAUCAAUGGCGAAGGCAGCUUUCUGGACUAAUACUGACACUGAGGUACGAAAGCGUGGGUAGCAAACAGGAUUAGAAACCCUAGUAGUCC
rnacentral:rRNA from 1 species